rnacentral:rRNA from 1 species
UACAGAGGGGGCAAGCGUUUAUUCGGAAUUAUUGGGCGUAAAGGGCGCGUAGGCGGCCUGGCAAGUGGAAGGUGAAAUCCCUCGGCUUAACCGAGGAACUGCCCUCCAAACUGCUUGGCUUGAGUCCGGGAGAGGUGAGUGGAAUUCCCAGUGUAGCGGUGAAAUGCGUAGAUAUUGGGAGGAACACCAGUGGCGAAGGCGGCUCACUGGACCGGAACUGACGCUGAUGCGCGAAAGCGUGGGGAGCAAACGGG